CCUCCUGUAGCUCAGCCGGAUAGAGCACUUCCCUCCUAAGGAAGGGGCCGUGCGUUCGAAUCGCGCCAGGGGGA
rnacentral:tRNA from 1 species